rnacentral:rRNA from 1 species
UACGGAGGGGGCUAGCGUUGUUCGGAAUUACUGGGCGUAAAGCGCGCGUAGGCGGACCUGCAAGUCGGGGGUGAAAGCCCGAGGCUCAACCUCGGAACUGCCUUCGAUACUGCGGGUCUCGAGUCCGGGAGAGGUGAGUGGAAUUCCUAGUGUAGAGGUGAAAAUUCGUAGAUAUUAGGAAGAACACCAGUGGCGAAGGCGGCUCACUGGCCCGGUACUGACGCUGAGGCGCGAAAGCGUGGGGAGCAAACAGG